GAUCAUGGCUCAGAUUGAACGCUGGCGGCAGGCCUAACACAUGCAAGUCGAACGGUAACAGGAAACAGCUUGCUGUUUCGCUGACGAGUGGCGGACGGGUGAGUAAUGUCUGGGAAACUGCCUGAUGAGGGGGAUAACUACUGGAAACGGUAGCUAAUACCGCAUAACGUCGCAAGACCAAAGAGGGGGACCCUCGGGCCUCUUGCCAUCGGAUGUGCCCAGAUGGGAUUAGCUUGUUGGUGGGGUAACGGCGCACCAGGCGACGAUCCCUAGCUGGUCUGAGAGGAUGACCAGCCACACUGGAACUGAGACACGGUCCAGACUCCUACGGGAGGCAGCAGUGGGGAAUAUUGCACAAUGGGCGCAAGCCUGAUGCAGCCAUGCCGCGUGUAUGAAGAAGGCCUUCGGGUUGUAAAGUACUUUCAGCGGGGAGGAAGGGAGUAAAGUUAAUACCUUUGCUCAUUGACGUUACCCGCAGAAGAAGCACCGGCUAACUCCGUG
rnacentral:rRNA from 1 species